AUGAACGCUGGCGGCGUGCCUAAUACAUGCAAGUCGAGCGAACGGACGAGAAGCUUGCUUCUCUGAUGUUAGCGGCGGACGGGUGAGUAACACGUGGAUAACCUACCUAUAAGACUGGGAUAACUUCGGGAAACCGUAGCUAAUACCGGAUAAUAUUUUGAACCGCAUGGUUCAAAAGUGAAAGACGGUCUUGCUGUCACUUAUAGAUGGAUCCGCGCUGCAUUAGCUAGUUGGUAAGGUAACGGCUUACCAAGGCAACGAUGCAUAGCCGACCUGAGAGGGUGAUCGGCCACACUGGAACUGAGACACGGUCCAGACUCCUACGGGAGGCAGCAGUAGGGAAUCUUCCGCAAUGGGCGAAAGCCUAACGGAGCAACGCCGCGUGAGUGAUGAAGGUCUUCGGAUCGUAAAACUCUGUUAUUAGGGAAGAACAUAUGUGUAAGUAACUGUGCACAUCUUGACGGUACCUAAUCAGAAAGCCACGGCUAACUACGUG
rnacentral:rRNA from 1 species